CUAUUUGUGCAGAUAUGGAUGCAUUUGGAGAUGUUGUGCCGGAGACCCUCGAGAAUAGCAUGGAAGCAGAAGCUGUCAAGAUUAAAGAACAGGUCGACAAUAUUGAAUCGUUUCUGGGAUCAAUUGAAGAUGGAGAUAUGAGCAGUUCUGCUUAUGAUAUUGCCUGGGUUGCCAUGAUUGAAGACGUUAACCAGAAGGGUGUCCCUCAAUUUCCAGCUUGUUUGCUUUGGAUCGUAGAGAAUCAGCUUGACGAUGGUUACGAUGGCUUGCAUAUAUGUAAAGCUAAUUACAAAUCUACGUACAGGAUACCAAAGGACAGAAUGCACAGUGUUCCCACAACAGUACUUUAUAACUUGGAAGGAAUACAAGACUUGGAUUGGGAAAAGAUUCUAAAGCUACAAUGCCAUGAUGGCUCAUUCUUGAGCUCUCCAUCCUCCACUGCCUUUGCAUACAUGAAAACAAAAGAUGAAAACUGCUUUACAUAUCUAAAACAAGUUACAAAAAGAUUCAAUGGGGCAGUCCCGUCCAUGCACCCUAUUGACUUGUACGAGCGUCUUUGGGCUGUCGAUCGCUUGCGACGCCUAGGAAUCUCUCGAUUUUUCGAGGGGGAGAUUAAAGAAUAUAUGAGUUUUGUCCAAAGGUAUUGGACAAAAGAUGGAAUGCAUGUCCUGGACAAGAAAUUCGCAGCUUCGCGAUACCGAUUGUACCGCCAUGGGAUUCAGGCUACUUAGACUUCACGGCUUUCAAGUUUUCCCUGAUAUGUUUCAGAAUUCUAAGAAAGACAAUGAAUUCAUCUGCUAUGAAGGCCAAUGGAACGAGGCAAUCAGCGUAAUGUCUAAUCUGUACAGGGCUUCUCAACUGAUGUUUCCUGAUGAGAAGAUUCUUGAAGAAGCAAAGCAGUUCACUUCCAAAUUCCUAAGAGAAAAACAAGCUUCUAAUCAACUUAUUGAUAAAUGGAUUCUAACUACAGACUUAUCUGGAGAGGUUGCAUUUGCACUGGAUGUUCCGUGGUACGCAUGCUUGCCUUGAUUGGAGGCGAGAUUUUACAUUGAACAGUACGGGGCAGAAGAUGUUGUAUGGAUUGCCAAGACUCUUUACAAUGUACCAUACAUUGACAACAACAUGUAUCUAGAGCUUGCUAAACUAGAUUACAACAAUUGCCAAGCAUUGCAUCGCUUUGAAUGGAUUAGUAUCCAAAAGUGGUAUGAAGGAUUUGAAUUUGGAGGUUCUGGGGUGAAUAGAAGAAGCCUCCUUUGUGCAUAUUUUGUGGCUGCAGCCAGUAUUUUUGAGCAGGAAAGGUCGAUCGAGCGCCUUGCCUGGGUUAAGACUGCAAUCUUGAUAGAAACUGUUGCAUCUUACUUCAUAAAUUCUACAAAGCAAAGGCGAAAAUCCUUUGUCAAUGAAUUCAGAAAAUGUGUGAGAAAUGAGAGAAUGAUGGAGACAAAUACACCAACAACAGAGAAACUAAUUCAAGCGAUACUUGAAACCCUAAACCAGUUUUGUCAAGAUAUAAUGGUCACUGAAGACAUAGUUACUCGUCAUUUACAUGGCCUGUGGGAAAAGUGGCUUCUAACAUGGCAAGAAGAAGGAAAUAGACUAACUUGCGAAGCAGAGCUAUUGGCGCAAACUAUAAAUUUCAUGGCCGGCUACAAGGUAUUCAAAGAAGUCUCACCUCUUUACGUACAACUAAUCAACAUCACAAACAGAAUUUGCUCUCAGCUUGGCCGUCAUCAGGAACGGAAGAACAAAAAUGGACAGGACAGUUGCAACGACAACCCUCACCGCAUCACAACGCCUCAAAUAGAGCGGGACAUGCAAGAACUUCUGCAGCUGGUGCUGAUCAACAACUCCUCAGAUGGCGAUGGCAUGGACGUGAAUAUCAAGCAAACAUUUCUCACGAUUGCGAAGAGCUUUUACUACAUUGCCUUCAUGGAUCCUGAGACUGUGAAUUCCCACAUCGCUAAAGUACUCUUUGAAAGAGUAGAUUGAAGUAUCAAUACAUAUUUUCAGAGUUAAUAUUGGUUGUGAAGUCUUGCUGUUGACUAAA